rnacentral:misc_RNA from 1 species
GGAAAGAGAGCUAGAAGAAGGAGAAGCACAAAAGUCACCCUCCAAGAUUGUUGCUGAUAGUCUCAGCCAGAUCAGCCGCUCAUCCACCUUCCUUCCAAACAUUGGUGUCCCUACAACGUCCAAGACUGGUCGGUCCACAUCGCUAGCUGCACAAGCACGCAUGCAAGCUCAGUUUGAGGAAAAACUCCAAGCUGAAAGAGAGGAAGCUGCUAGGAAGCAGGAAGAGUUGCAAGCACAACUACAAGCUCAACAGGCCGCACUUGAAGAAAACCAAAGUUUGCUGCGCCAGACCCAAGAGGAAGUGAAGGGGAUGCAUACCAAGUUUGAAGAGACCAAUGCACUGCUACGAGUUGUCCUGAAACUUCAGAAAGAUUGAGGUAGGGAUGCAUACCAAGUCUGAGGAUGAUGCC